rnacentral:rRNA from 1 species
GACGAACGCUGGCGGUGUGCUUAACACAUGCAAGUCGAACGGUAAGGCCCUUUCGGGGGUACACGAGUGGCGAACGGGUGAGUAACACGUGAGUAACCUGCCCUCAUCUCUGGGAUAACAGUCGGAAACGGUUGCUAAUACUGGAUAUGAGCCUGCAAGGCAUCUUGUGGGUUGGAAAGAUUUUUUGGUUGGGGAUGGACUCGCGGCCUAUCAGCUUGUUGGUGAGGUAGUGGCUCACCAAGGCUUCGACGGGUAGCCGGCCUGAGAGGGCGACCGGCCACAUUGGGACUGAGAUACGGCCCAAACUCCUACGGGAGGCAGCAGUGGGGAAUAUUGCACAAUGGACGGAAGUCUGAUGCAGCAACGCCGCGUGCGGGAUGACGGCCUUCGGGUUGUAAACCGCUUUCAAUUGUGACGAAGCCUUUUGUGACGGUAGCAGUAGAAGAAGCACCGGCUAACUACGUG